AGAGAAGGAGGCCCUCCCCAUGGCUGGGGACAGUCACAGCAGCUGCAGACAGAUGAUGGGAGGGAGCAUUCUUUCCCUAACCCUAGAGGCGGGCGAGCAUUCACCAAGUGUUGUUGUUAAAGAAAAAAAGAAAGAAAAAGAAACCAGGAUUGUACCUGAGGUCAGGCAGACAGUGCUCAACUCAGCACUGGGAAGAUUGCUAGAAGCCUUGGGCCUAUCUAGGAAGACUGGGCCAACAUGCGAUCCCCUCUGCAAGGUGGAGGCCAUGCACCUGCCUCCUGCUCCUGAGCUCCGGUAUCCUCACUGUGACCCAGGCCCCACUGCAGCAAAGAGACACUGGGAAUUAGCCCUUCUGUCCCCUCCUUGCCAGAAGGUGAGGCAACACCCGGCCUGCUUCAGCUUGCCCCCCGUGGGCUGCACCCACUGUCCAACCAGUCCCAAUGAGAUGAACCAGGUACCAGCGAAGAGGGCAAGAACACAGCACUACUUCCUUGGAUACUGUUUCCCUCCUCAGAGGGGUUUUCUGAGCUGCCCUGGGUCCUGUGAGGAAGAUCUCCCCUUCCUGUAAAGACACCAGUCCUACUGGAUCAGGGCCCACCCGUGUGACUUCACUUUUACUUGAGUACCUCUCACAGACCCUAACUCCAAAUCAGGUCACUUGCUGAGGUACUGCAUGUGAAGACUUUGACAUUUGAAUUUUGAGGGGGCCACCGUUUAACCUGAACCACCAAGGACAGAGCCAAAGACCCUGGGUGACAGGCCCAGAACAGGACCUGGUGGAGGCUCUUCUUUAGGGGAGAGAGGGAAAUGGGAGCCACCACUGGCAGAGCCUGAAGGCAGGGCAGCCAGAAAGAAGCUGUGGGAGUCCCCACCAUGGAAGACCCUGCCGAGCAUCCUGUGUCUCCUGAAGCAGACCCUGACAUGAGGACUGGGGGCACGUGUUUAUUAAGGGCGAUCCCCGGAAGGAGGAGAUAACCAGGCAGAAGUCCUAGCAGAGUAUGCCCACGCUGGUUAGUGCUGCUGCAAAGAUGAGCCGAAGACCAUGAGAGACCUCCAGGUGGUCCUUCUGGGGAGAAGAAAUGGGUUUUGGCCCCAAAUCCUUCUGCUGCAUUUUUCCCCUAUCCCUGGGAAGCCAUGAGACCUCAAACCUGUGUUCCCAAGGAGGCGAGCUGCUGUUCCCAGGUGAUGAUAUGAUGUGCUUGGGGAAAGUAAGUGGCUGCCAGACAUGGCUGAGAGCUGUUGUCACUGCCGUCAAGUGCAUGUCUCCAAGCCAUAUCACACGGCGUCCCUCGAUGUGAGGCCACAUGGCAAGUGGGCCGUGGAUCUCCCUCUGCCCUUUGCAAGCACGUAAGACAGCAGAUUUUGCAGAUACCUUGUGGCGCAGGGGAAUUUCCUUUGGCCAGGUCUGAAGAAAUAAAGCAGCAGGCACCGAGAACAAAGCCAAGGCUUUCAAAAGACAAGGAGCCAAAAAACUUACUCAAAAUAAAAGUAGUUUUAAAAUGUC
ensembl:lncRNA novel transcript